GACGUAUUUUCAGCUUUCAGUUGCCGCUUUGGCGGCGAGAAAACUAUUUCGGUUUGAUGUGAGUUCGGCACAGAUAUGCGUUGAUUAUUCGAUUAACUGUAUUAUAGUAUCUAUUAUAUUUUAUAAAUAAUUUUGAGACAAAAUAUUGGUAAUGUUGUUGGAAAUCACAAAUAAAGUGAAAAGUGUUCGUUUCAACAACUGUAAAUCGGUGUUUUAACAUUGAAUUUAAAAACAAAAACCAAAAACUUUGGAAAUCAACUUACCUCCUAGUGUGUAUUAAAAGCUACAACAAAACAAAAACACAAAAAUUCAAGUUUUGAUGCUGACGG